rnacentral:sRNA from 1 species
UGCCCGAUGAUGUCCUCCUUGACCAGCUC